rnacentral:tRNA from 1 species
GGAGAGAUGGCAGAGUGGUCGAUCGCGUUCGACUUGAAAUCGAAUGACUGUCAAAGGUCCGGGGGUUCGAAUCCCCCUCUCUCCG